GGCCCCAGGGAAGUGACAGUUGCCACUGUUCACUGAGUUCCUCCAGGGCGCAUGGCACCCCUCAUUUCCCAUCCUCACAGUCCCACGUUGAGCUGUGUGCCCGCCAUGCACUAGGGAAAGUGAAGGCUUCCUGAGGACGAGUGGCUCGCCAGGGUCACAGAUGAGAGGCAGACUGAGAUUCAAGCUUGGGUGACCUGCCUCAAAUGCUUAGGUUCUUUUUGCCACCAUGAGCUUCUCCUGGGGUAGGGCUUGGGGGUGGCCCAUGGUGCUAAUGCAUGUGGGGUGCUGACCGGCUUUCCCUCUGGGAGUCCAGGUGGCGCAUAUUAGCAGAGGGGCCAGGGACUCCUUGGAUCCAGGGCGUGUCCUUAGGGUCUCAGCCUUGAGGGUGUAAAAGCUAUAGAGUGAGUGUCCGGGUGGAUAAGGGACUUGGAUAGGAUCCUGCCGUGUGGGCUGGGGUGGGUACAGCAAGAUGCCAGAAUCCCUGGAGUUCGCAAGGACAUUAUCUUUUUGGAGACCUCAGGGUCUGAUCACACUUCAUGACUGUUCUCUGGGCCUCAGAUUCCUCAUCAGUGAAAAGAGGAUAAAUCAUCCUGAGCCUUGCUCUUUCCUAGGGAUGUUGGAGGGAAAGAAAAGAAUAAAAGAUCCCUGAUUGUGCUCUG
rnacentral:antisense_RNA from 1 species